AAACUUAAUACUUUAUCAAAAAAAAAAAAUUUCAUAUAAAUUUGUAUUUUUAAGUAUAACUUGACUACUAUUUUUCUUCUAGGAUAAAUAUUUUGUAUUAUUUUGGUAAGCUUAUUAUAUUAUUUUUAGAAACCACCUCACAUAUACAUGAUACAAAAUAUAUCAUUUAAGUGAAGCAAUCUACUAUAAAAAAAUAUAAAAUAAUAAG
rnacentral:lncRNA from 1 species